AGAACGAACGCUGGCGGCAGGCCUAAUACAUGCAAGUCGAACGCACUCUUCGGAGUGAGUGGCAGACGGGUGAGUAACACGUGGGAACCUUCCUAGGGGUACGGAACAACUCAGGGAAACUUGAGCUAAUACCGUAUACGUCCGUAAGGAGAAAGAUUCAUCGCCCCUAGACGGGCCCGCGUAGGAUUAGGUAGUUGGUGAGGUAACGGCUCACCAAGCCUACGAUCCUUAGCUGAUCUGAGAGGAUGAUCAGCCACACUGGGACUGAGACACGGCCCAGACUCCUACGGGAGGCAGCAGUGGGGAAUCUUGGACAAUGGGCGCAAGCCUGAUCCAGCCAUGCCGCGUGAGUGAAGAAGGCCUUCGGGUUGUAAAGCUCUUUUACCAGGGACGAUAAUGACGGUACCUGGAGAAUAAGCCCGGCAAACUUCGUGCCAGCAGCCGC
rnacentral:rRNA from 1 species